rnacentral:lncRNA from 1 species
AGCAAUUUCGGCUUUUAAAAAAAAAAAGAAAGCAGGCUUUGCCAAGCGUCCUUGUUUUGGACUUGUCUUGACCUCGCUCCCACCGGCUGCAGCUUUCUGCCCAGCAUCCCGGUGAUGGCCAGUGCUGCGGGCGUUUGCUUCUCGCACCGAUUCGCGGGGUGGAAGCGCUGCCUGCCCUCCCACCUCAGCUCCAGCAGCCCUCUGCUCGGGUUGCCCUGGAGACAAAGCUUCCUGUGCGUAAUCCAAGCUUAUCCAGCUCCUUAUCCUACAUGUGACCCUUAAUUACUUGCUAAAUUAGAAUGGUUUUCUGAAAAUCACAAGGGGAGGUUAAUAUGUUCUUCCAGAGCUGGUCAAGCUAAGAUGACACUAAAUUCACAGGGAAUUCAAAUUACAUGAUCCCUGAAGGCGUCUCUUUCAGAAGGAAGAUGAACUUUCCCAAUAGGAGGCAGUGUGCCAUGAUAAUGCUUCUGUCACUCACUUUCCUUGUCCUGCUUGUCUAGCUGCAGCCUAAUCUGCUAUGAACAAUGUAGUAAGUAAAUAUCAGGUUGAUUAAUUAUGGUGCGAGAUUCAGUAACUGCUUGUCUUCUAUAAUUAACACGGUCAUUGAAAUUAAGUAACACACUUCAUACGUGGAUUCCUGGACUAAAAGAAAUAACACGGGAGAAUCCUCAGGGCUGUCGCAGGGGAGGUGAGGGAAUAACAACAGAGGGUCAAAAUAUUAAUUAUCUCUUCAAAAUGACUGUACGUUUUAAGAUGUGCUUCACACGAGAAGGGACUUUACUGCUUCUGCAUGUCCCCACAGAGACAAAACAGAGUAGGUCUGUGAAAAUACUGCUUCUGUUUGCUGACAGCACGCCUUUCUUUCACCGCUGUGAUAGAUGGAAGCGGUCAGAACAGGCGCACAUCGCGCAGAUAUGCUCACCCACCUUCCUAAGGGCAAGCACGGUAAGCAGUGGUUCCCUCAGCCCUCCUUAGAAAGGCAGCACCGUGACCUUGUUGUCUUCCUUUUCUGUGUUUGAAUUCGCCUACCAUUUGCAGGACAGCACUGAAGGAAGCCCUAACAAUUGAGGAGUGGUUUUUGUUCCCUCGGCAGGAAGGAACUCUGAGCUCAUGUGGUCAGGACAGCCUGGAGGGGUUGCUCGCUUUCCCAGCGCUUUGAGCGCUUCUCCCAAAAGUUCUGAUUUUCACAGAAGCACAGAAGAAUACAGUUUCUGCAUUCAAACGAUGAGGGUGGAAAACAAAGUCACCCUCAUUCAGUGAUUUCCCUCUGCCUUCGAGUCCUCCAUACAACAUUAGGAAAAAGCCAGGGACCUUCCUGGGACCACUGCCUUCUUUGGAGAAGGGUCGGUUCAGAGGUGUGGGCCGGAUUUUCACACUCAUCACAGGAACCUCAUGGCUGCCAUAAGAAAACAGACUGAAUACCUAAAUAAAUGAAUGGGGAGCACGGGGUCUGGUGACACAGAUUCCCCUGGGAAUAAAAGAAAGAGGCAAUUACUGUUCUCUCUCAGUCCAGUGAGAACGUGUAAAGGAACCAGCAAAGUGUCACGUCUUCUGCUAUCCCCUCGUGUAGACCAGACCAGAGAAGUGUAGAAAGGAAGAAAAUGCUACCACUGAAAAUAAUCCUUUUAAGUGCUAGGCUACAAGGCUGCAGCAAGCUGUGAUUGGUUCCUCUCACAGCAAAACCAACAGGGGAACGAAGGUAUCUGAAUAAGAGAUCCCCUUCUAAACAUACCAAUUCUCUUGUGCCUUUGGAUUGACAUCACUACCAGGAAUGAAGAUAAUCAAUUUGAGGGAGGGGGAAUAUGCUAAACACUUGAGAUUGUGUCCAGCUCUUAAGAUACCUGCAUUCCUUGUUUAUUUCUUUGUUUUAUAUCCUUUUGAUCAGUAGCUUAGAAAAAGAACAGAAAAUAGUCAUACAAUAAUGCCUUGCAGCCUGUGGCAUAUUCCAUUUCAGGAUCCUAACAAAAGGUCUGUAGGCAUGUAAGAAUAGUUUCAGUCUAAGUUUAGUUCAGUCUGGAAAAGCUUUUUAGUUCCCUGUAAUAAAAUGGAGCAAAUUAGUUUGAACAAGAAAGAGUAACAACACAAGUAGUGCUUGAGGGAUCUAGGAAGGCAGGCAGCGAGAUCCUUCAGUUAGCCAAGUCUGGCAAUUAACUCACCAAUUAACUCACAAAAAAGACUUCUACGGGUUUCACAGUGACCAACAGACCCUGCCAGUGGGGUCUCCUAGUCUUCAGGGUAUGGCAGGUAAGCUCUGAGGAAUCCUAGUGGUCAUCACAGGCUUUCUCUGGGCCUUCUGUGAUCACUACUGCCUCAGCAGGGAGCAGCAAGGGCUGUGUGCUGGCACGUCGGCUGCUCCAAUUUGUAGCCCAGCAUAUAAUUCCAAAUGUAGCUUGUCAGCAGUUUGCACUAAGAAACUUCUCUGAGGCUGGAGUACACUCUCCUCCUGGUCAGCUCCUCUAGCACCAUUAUAACCUUUCCAAGCACCAGAGCAGGCUUGCCCAAGGGGCUGGAACUUUUGCUUUGUUUCAAGGCUGAAACUGAUCAUAGACCAUGGAAUAUUUCUGUUAUCUAAAAUAUGCAUCUACGGUUCACUGCUUUCUUUGAGUCAACAGCAAAAUAAUAAUAACAAUAAUAAUAAUUUUAAAAAAUCAACAAAUUUUACUGGAAGCACAUCCACAGUAUUUUUUUAUGUGGCUACUAAGUAUUGAUGCCGGAAAGUUGCUGGAAAUUAAGUGUGUAAUUAAUGCUAAGAACUGCAUUUUGACAGUUUUUAGUCUGAAGAACUCUCUUCCUCUGGUGUUAAAGGAGCCUGCUAGUGAUCUAACUUUUGCAUACGGAAGGAUGUGCAAGCCGCAGAUUGCGAGAGCACUACCCUGCUUAGUCUAGGGA